GAAUUAAAAAGCGCGCCUCCUAAGGCUCAAAAAGCGGAUUUCCGGCCUGAAACUGAGUGUGUUUCACUGGUUAGGCGACGAGGCUGCUGAGGCGUCCUUCAAGGCGCUCAAGGCGUUAAAGGCGUACGCUCUGGAAAAGAAGAAAAAUGACGUCGUUUUGGUCUUUUGGAACAGAAUGGGUUUAAAGGUCGCGACUGAAGGUGUUUGGACUUUGGACAGCCGAUUUCAGCCCUCUCUCUUCCAAAAGGUACCAAAUUCGAUCCCUAACCCAAAGUUCGAGUUAGGAGCUCGAUUUCGAUUCGCAGCAAUCAAUUUGAAGGUGUCGGAGCUCGAUUCGCAGCAGGCCAUUUGAAGGUAUUGGAGCUUGAUUCGCAACAUGCCAUUUGAAGAGAAUUUUCAGGGAUGAUAGUGAUGGUAGUAAUAGUUUGGAUGGUGAUCUCCUAGUUGAUGAGGAUGAUGAUUUCCAAGCAUGAAGUAAAUUUCAACAAUUGUUCUUUAUCUUUGGUCUUUCAACUUUAGAUCUUUGAUUUCAUUUUAUGUUGGUGAUUUUGUUGAAUCAUAUGGUUCUAGUACUUUAUUUAUUAUGAGUGAAAAACAAUUAAUAAUGUUCUUUUGGUUGCUCUUAA